CAGCAGCCGCGGGAAAACGUAGGUGGCAAGCGUUGUCCGGAAUUAUUGGGCGUAAAGGGCUCGCAGGCGGUUUCUUAAGUCUGAUGUGAAAGCCCCCGGCUCAACCGGGGAGGGUCAUUGGAAACUGGGGAACUUGAGUGCAGAAGAGGAGAGUGGAAUUCCACGUGUAGCGGUGAAAUGCGUAGAGAUGUGGAGGAACACCAGUGGCGAAGGCGACCCUCUGGUCUGUAACUGACGCUGAGGAGCGAAAGCGUGGGUAGCGAACAGGAUUAGAGACCCCUGUAGUCCCUGUCUCUUAUAC
rnacentral:rRNA from 1 species